rnacentral:ribozyme from 1 species
UGAGGCAUGAGAGAAAGAGAAAGUGAGUGAAUAUACAUUUUUUUUUUGGUUCCCCAUGAUUUGUAUAUGUAAAUACUUUGAGAAAAUUUGUUUAAAAAAAUAAGUUAAU